UGUGCGUGUGAACACUCUCAAGACCUGCUCCGUUUAUGUAGUUAUUUCAAGAGACAAGGUUUCUCCUAUCAGGGUCGGGCUUCCAGGCUGGAUGGAGUGCCCUGGCGCGAUCUCGGCUCACCGCAACCUCUGCCUCCUGGGUUCAAGCGAUUCUCCUGCUUCAGCCUUCUGAGUAGCUGGGAUUAUGAAGGGGUGGCCUGCCCCUCCACAUCUGUGGGAUAUCUCAUCAGAGAUGCCAGUGGGGCUUGAGAUUGAAUCACUUGCCCAGGCUCCCACUGCUGGUAAACAGUAGAGGGGGCUCCUGACCCAUCAGUCUGGCUUGACAACCCAUUCCCUCAACUGCGGAUCCCGGAUUCCCUUAUCACCCUGUUGAUUUCUCCAUAGCUGUGCCUUGAUGACUUACAAGCCCUCAAGGGGAAGCAUUUUCUCCUGGACUCCUUGAUGCCGGAGCUGCUGGUGUUUCCCGCCCAGACAGAUCUGCAUGAACACCCACUGUACCGGGCCGGACACCUCAUUCUGCAGGACAGGG
rnacentral:lncRNA from 1 species